rnacentral:lncRNA from 1 species
CCGGUUUCCAAACUCGGCCGUAAUCAACCGAAACUUCCAAAAUCUCGACACCCCUCGGCACUUAUAUAAAUACCGAACUUCUCCACACCAUCGUUACCCCCCUCCUUCCUCACAUAACCCGGCACCUUAUCACCCUCGAAUCCUCUCAACAAGCUCUCGACACACUCACAACAACUUUUGCACAACCAUACACCCCUGCCGGAGAUCGGAGUUCCAUAAACCACCAGUCGUCGGAGAACUUGAAGUCACCGGAGUUGGAGGUCUCGCUGGAACCGUAGUCACGACGGAGUCUUGUUCCUGUUCAGUUCGAAACCAUGUUCGGCGGAACUCGACUCGUCAUUUUGUUCGGGUAAUCACUUGCAAUCUCUUGGGAUAAUCUCAAUUCUCUACUCGUCCUCUUUACAAGAAAACGCAACGCAAUCUAAGGUUGAUGUUCAAGAAAUAAAGAAAUCAAGCUAGGAUGGAACUAGAAACCCAUUUUAGCAUAGUAUUUUAUUAUGUUUGAAUUAUGAUGUACUUGAAAACAAUGUAUUCCCAUUUGAUAUUUAUGAAAUGAAUUUAAUUCAUAUUGUC